UCACCAGACUGGCUUCAAACAGGUCUCUGAGUAGUGGCUCCUUGUUGCCGUGGCCAGUGUGAUGACAGCUCUUCCGAUAUGUUUUCGGAAGAGCCACACUUGCCCACUCUAUAUCAUAUCCAUCGUGUCACACAGGACAACAGAGACGUGGACCACCGACUUGGCCUGUGACGGCAGUAGGAACUGCAACAAAUGGAUGACAAAAACAUAAACAUCCUUUCAUAAUUUUGAUAAAUACCAAAAUAAAGAACAGCCUAGAGCUAUGUCAGAGAAUCUGGCGAGGUUGUACACAUGAGUGAGAUUACCUGGUCUUGGUGUUCCAGGUUUAGUUCUUCUUCCAGUGGAGAAAAGAAAACGCAAAGCACUAGAUUGAAAUUUGUCUAAAAACAGGUGUUGUGAUGGGUGUCAAUGGGACUAAAAUGGUCCUAGGGUCUCCGUGCAGGGUCAGUGAGAAACAUGUCAUUUGGAAAGAUCAACAUGUCAGAAGUGACUGAACAUUUAAAUCGUAGAAUCUCUGGCUUCUGGGGGGGAAAUAAAAGACUAAAAGGACCAUUUCUGAUCAGACACCUCCAAGGUGAAACCGAAAAUCAGAGACAUGUCCUCAACUGCAGCAAAGAUGUGUCUCUUGAGUUAAUCAUUAGAUGUUGGAGCAGUAUCACUUCAUAGUUUAUAUCAGUCACUAUAACAGUGUCAAAGUGCGUUUAUUAGCACCGUGUUUGGAGACUUCUGGUCAGAACAAGGUGAACAAGGCUUGAGGAUGGACCACAGACUAUAGGAGAGAGACGUGCUGCUCUCAGGUCAGUGACUCUCACUCUCCACACAGUGAGCAGCCAGUUGUUGAGGUGCUAGUAUGAAUCAAAUGUAACUGCAAGAUCCAUGUUGAUGUGCAAAGAUCUUUUUUAAAGACACUUUUGGUGUGUUCUUUUGUAAUGAUCACUAUAAUCACAGUAAUAAUUCGAAUAAUAGUACCAGUGCAAAAUAUUUAAAUGUUGGCCAUCAGGUGCAGAUGGGGCACUACAUCAGUUGCUUGAAAAGUUCUCUUGGGUUUGUGUAUUUCUGAAUCAUCCGACGAACAGAAGAGUCACACUUUUUAAAUAACUGCAGCCAAAUAAAGACUGAGAGAUCCAUAUCCCCAUGUCCAACAGCCUGACUUCCACGCUACUAUUACAGUGUGUGUGUGAGUGUCUCGGUUGUAAAAGUACUUUGGACCAGCAGAUGAACAGAUAGGAUCCACCUUUGAUUUGUGGGCAUUAUACUUACUUACUGAUGUUGAUGAUCAUGCCACAGACACACAUGCUUCACAUGAUGGUCUCAGGAAAGAGCUGCAUUGUUUUCAACCGUUUCAUUAUAUGAAAUGAUUUGGGGAAGAGAGUGGAAAAGAAAAUGGCUGAAUUCUUAAAAAUUUUUUUUGUACUGAUUCUCAUGAGCCAUGUUUGUGUGAAGGUGAAGACUUUGCUGACACUCACUGUGAGGACAGAGUCCCCCUUAAAUGUCUUCAAGAUGAGGACCAUGAUGAGCAGACCAGAGUGCCGAGGUAAGAGAAGGUCCUUCAAGAUUUUCCUCUGAUUCUGAUUUUCCCUCUAUCUUCACUCUCACCAAAACAUCCAUGUCCAAGAUCAAAGGAGCAGCCAAACCCUGCCGGACCUGGACCACGAUCUGGACCAGUACCCAGACGUGUCUCUCUCAAGAGUGAUAACUCGAAGGGGAUAGGCAUUGACUUCAGAGGAGGAGCAGAGCUUUCGGGUUCAGGGAUUCGUCAAGAGGAACCAGAAGAGUUUAGACUCUGCGGUGACUCUCCGAAGUCUCUGUGUGACCACUCUGUAUGGUGUUCCAUGGAGGUCCAAGCUGGACUGAAGUCAUCAUGGGACAGAGAGGAUCAUCAGAGCACAGGACCUCACAGUAGCCUGGUGCAUCUCUCACAUGUGGACUCCGCACGGCUGGUAUGUACAUGUACAAGCAGAGGUCGUCAUCUGAGAGGUUCCUUCUGUUCAUUCUCACUUCAGAUCCAAGUUCAAAGUUUCUGCUCUUUUUGGUUCUGGAGAUGUUCCACUAUCAC